rnacentral:pre_miRNA from 1 species
AUGUUUUAAUUACAUCUCAAAUUAUCGAUGUUAAAUCAAUUAGAUCCUUCUAUCAUUGAAACCGUUAAUUUUUUUCAUUAAAUGACAUGUACAAUCUUAUAUGACAUAAUUUAAAAUGAAAAUUUUAAAACGGUGCAUACCUUUUAAAAUUAAAACCUAAAAAUAAAAUAAAACCGAAAAAAAAAGUGAAUGAUAAUUUCUGUAAAAGCUUCGAAAACCUUAAACCAAGAUGUUUACAUCAUUUAUUUUUCUUUAGAAGUUUCAUUUUAAAUUAUGUCCUAUAAGAUCUGAUGUCUCAUUUAACAUUUAAAUUAAUGAUUUUAGUAACGAAAGUACCUUAUUGAUACAACAUCGAUAGUUUGAGGAUGUAAUGAGUAUGU